rnacentral:snRNA from 1 species
GUGCUCAUUUCAGCAGCUGAAAUUUAAAUGAUACAGAGAAGAUCAGGAGGGUCCCUUUUUAAAGAUGACAAGCUAAUUUUUGAAGUGUUCCAUAAUUUG